GAAAAUCCUAUAAAUAGCAUCUGCCCGUAUCUCUCAGUCUCUCCCUCCAUGGCUCGAAUCCUCUCGCAAACCCUAAUCAGAUCCUCUUCAUCCUCAUUUUUCCCUUCCCCAAAUUGCCCUUCUAUCUCGCCUCCUACUUCUCGCCUCCUAAAUCUCCGAAACCGAUCGAAUCAGUCGGAUAAGUCGCAUCUGAUCGAGGUCGAUCUCGAUCCCGACGGAUCUGAUGGAGAAAUGCUUGGCAUGCGCAGGCUCGAGGACGCCAUCCACCGCAUAAUCGUCCGUCGAUCAGCGCCGGACUGGCUCCCAUUUAUGCCCGGCUCCUCGUACUGGAUUCCGCCUCGGAAGCGGCCACACAGCAUUUCUGAAUUGGUCGGAAGGCUGGCCAAUCCGCUGUCGGAGGAGGAAGCGAUGUCUCUGACGACGGUACGAGGCUGGCCUUCGUCGGCGUACUUCAUAGAAGGAGAGAUUAAAGAGGUGGAUCAAGGACAGAUUGAAGAGGUGGCUCAAGGUGAGUUGGGAAAUCCUUUUCUUGGGCACUUCUUGAAAUCCCUGGGGUAGUAAUAGUUUCAAGUUCCGAUCAGUAACAGAGCUGCGUAGAACAAGUUUCAUAGAACUUUUUGCUGCAGGCACAUCUCCAAAUCCUGUGAAGAAAAAAUCAACGAAGAAAACUUCAAAUUCUGAGGAUGAAGGAUGAGUUAUCUCCGAUAGAAUGGCUUUGCGGGUCAACAAUGAUGAGGAGCUGUACAGUUGAAGUUGAUGGUUUUACAAUAGCUCGUGCCCUAUUAAAAGGAAGAAAAAAAGAAGAAAAAAAGAAAAAGAAAAA